rnacentral:rRNA from 1 species
UACGAGGGGGGCAAGCGUUGUUCGGAUUUAUUGGGCGUAAAGGGUGCGUAGGCGGUUUGGCAAGUCUUGUGUGAAAUCUUUGGGCUCAACCCAAAGUCUGCAUAAGAAACUGCCGAGCUUGAGUAUGGGAGAGGUGAGUGGAAUUUCCGGUGUAGCGGUGAAAUGCGCAGAUAUCAGGAAGAACACCCGUGGCUAAGGCGGCUCUCUAGUACGGUACUGACGCUGAGACGCGAAAGCGUGGGGAGCGAACAGG